rnacentral:rRNA from 1 species
CUGGCAUCGAUGAAGAACGCAGCGAAAUGCGAUAAGUAGUGUGAAUUGCAGAAUUCAGUGAAUCAUCGAAUCUUUGAACGCACAUUGCGCCCCUUGGUAUUCCAUGGGGCAUGCCUGUUCGAGCGUCAUUUGUACCUUCAAGCUCUGCUUGGUGUUGG